GGGUCUGUGGCUCAGUUGGUAGAGCAUGGUGUUUGCAACGCCAGCAUGGUGUGUGCAACGCCAGCAUGGUGUGUGCAAUGCCAGGGUUGUGGGUUUGAUUCCCACGGGGGGCCA
rfam:Salmo salar isolate Sally breed double haploid chromosome ssa26, whole genome shotgun sequence.